rnacentral:rRNA from 1 species
AGAGUUUGAUCCUGGCUCAGGACGAACGCUGGCGGCGUGCUUAACACAUGCAAGUCGAGCGAGAAAACUACCUUCGGGUAGCGAGUAAAGCGGCGAACGGGUGAGUAACGCGUGGGUAUCUACCUUUAAGUCCGCGAUAACUUUUCGAAAGAGAAGCUAAUAGCGGAUAAUCUCCUUUAGAGCAAAGGCAGCUUCUGCCACUUAAAGAUGAGUCUGCGUCCCAUUAGCUAGUUGGUAGGAUAACAGCCUACCAAGGCAACGAUGGGUAGCCGGCCUGAGAGGGCGAUCGGCCACACUGGGACUGAGACACGGCCCAGACUCCUACGGGAGGCUGCAGUGGGGAAUCUUCCGCAAUGGGCUAACGCCUGACGGAGCAACGCCGCGUGAGUGAUGAAGGCCUUCGGGUCGUAAAGCUCUGUCUUCAGGGACGAACCACCUAGUUGGAAGCUAGGCUUGACGGUAUCUGAGGAGGAAGCCUCGGCUAAUUACGUGCCAGCAGCCGCGGUAAUACGUAAGAGGCAAGCGUUGUCCGGAAUCACUGGGCGUAAAGGGUACGCAGGCGGUCUAGCAAGUCAGAGGUGAAAGUCAUCGGCUUAACCGAUGAAGUGUCUUUGAAACUGUUAGACUUGAGAACAGGAGAGGAAAGUGGAAUUACCGGUGUAGUGGUGAAAUACGUAGAGAUCGGGAAGAAUACCAAUGGUGAAAACAGCUUUCUGGCCUGUUACUGACGCUGANGUACGAAAGCUAGGAUAGCAAACGGGAUUAGAUACCCCGGUAGUCCUGGCUGUAANCGAUGGACACUGAGUGUUGGGGGUUAAACUCCUUCAG